CCACACCUACCAAUUAUGGCCAUCGAGUACUGACGAUCAAAGCGAGCAUGAAGCGAGGGACCUGGAGGCUGGAAAGGCACUCAAGUCAUGGUAGCUAGCUCUGGGGACCUGGCCACUGAUCUGAUGGUCAACCAUAGAUUAUCAAACUAAAGGUAAUUAAAUGCGUGCAUAAUCAUAGUUAGGAAAAGUAAUUUUAGAGCCACUUCCAUUUGAUAUACUAUUACCGUAGGCGGAGGGACUCCAUCAGAGUGUCAUAUUAUGCCUCAGGUCAUUCAUGGUACUGGAAAUGAGGGUCUAAUGUAUUUCAGCUAGCAUGUCUCGGAAGACAGAAAAAUUUAAAAACUUAACGGUGAUCAAACUUUUGGCAGCAUUGAUUUACAGUUUGCACAUAGAUACAUAUAAAAAUGUGACCAAGAUGUGACUAUUUUAAUUGUUUGUACAAAAAGAUUAUUAUAGUGUG